GGCAGAAGUGGGGAGGAAGGAGGAGGGCAGGGAGCUUCCGCACUGCCCUGGAAGGCGCACUCGACGCCUCGGGGCCUUUGCCCACGCGAGCAGCCUCUUUCGGGGACACGAAGGGACCAGCACUUGGGGGAUUUGAAGCCAGUGCUCAUCCUAGGAAUCUGGUGAGGCUGAGCCAGAAGGGUCUAAACCAGCUUGAGGAGAUAGGGGCCACGCACCCGCGAGCUACCCUCUGCCCUCCCAUGUCCCUGGCAGUGGGCAUUUCUCAAAUGGUGAUUGAUGACUGGGGAUGGGGGUGGGCAAGCCGAGGGCCCAUCAUUCAGGCUCCAGGACCCUCGAACAAUCUGCCCACGGGGGAGGGGAGGCUGGUUUAGGGGCUCUGAGGGGCCUUUCCAGCGGCUGUCCUUCCAACACACUCUAGAGGAGACCAGGACUCCCAGGGGCUUGGGGCCUCCCGUUCCCCCACAGGGCGGUUAGAGGUGGAGCACCUGCCCUGAUGCGAGGAGCUCAGAGCAACUUCUGGGACACCACGGGUGGCCACGGUGUUCUUUUUGUUGCAUCCAAGAUUUUUCUCGUAUACGUAUUUUCCUAUAUUAAAAAAUUCAAAUGAGGCUUUAAAAAUUAACUUGAAAAAGGUUCCUGAUCCGGAAACAGGCUCAUCGGAGGCAGUGAUGGGAACUCGGUUCCUUAGGAGAGUAGGAAAUGCGCCGUCUGCGAGGGGCGCCCUGCGUGGACCCGGGGCCUCGGGGCGCGUCCACUUACCCGAGCCAGGAGAGACUGGGCCCCACGGUGUUAGCCCCGCGCUCGGGCUCGCGCGCCGCUUCCAGCUCGCGCCUCCUCCAUCCCCGGAGGGCUCCGCGGGUCCCCGGCGACGGGUCCCUGCCCAGGGUCCGGGAACCUUCCCCUCCCCUCCUUUCUCAAGCGCCAUUUCUCCGGAGCCGGGCCGGCCGUCCUCGGUGUACGCGGGAAGCGGGCAGCCUCCGCCUGCACCCGCGGGGCCGGGACCCGGAGGCACCCGCUUCCCCGACACACUCGCUGGGGCCGCUGCUCGCUGCUCCAGCCU
ensembl:lncRNA novel transcript